UUCAUUAGGAUCGUAGUGUGUGCACAAGUCCUCGCUUGACACCUAGCCAUCCUAUACCGUUCAGUUCAUUCCAAUCACCAACUACAGGUGAGUUCAUACCCCUAAUCAAUGUUUUAAAUGAUUUUAAAUGCUUUAGGGGGGGGAAUACAAGUAGAAACAAACAUGUUAUUAAAUCAUUGAUAUGUAUUUUAUAACUGUGUUUGUCAUUUAACAGAUUUCACAUGCUACAAAAUGUGAUGCAUGAAAUGGUUUUACAUCUUAAAAGCACAUUGUUACCAAAUGUUUUACCUCUGAAAUGUUUAUUAAAAUGACAUCAAGUCAUUGUUAAUUAUUGUUCAAAACCCAUAAGAUGUCUUACAAAAACCAUUUUUCAUUCUUGAACUAAACUAUGCAUAUACACUUAUAUUCUUAUAUAUGUAUUGAUGUCAUAGUUUGCAUCUUUCAUUUAGUUUCCCAUACCCUUGAGUAGUAAGAGUGGGUAAACUUACAUGUUCAACUAGUUAUAUUACAGUAGAUUAUCAUAGGGAUAAUUUGAAGAUAUCAAACAUUACUUCUAUUACAAGGAGUCACACAAGAGUCAGUUCAUUCAUGAGUCUAUACUAGUACAUUACCUGAUACAUGAGUACUUACAGAUGAUUACCUGAUACAUGAAUAUGUUUACAUAUACUUACAUGAUACAUGAACACGUUUACAUGAACGCAUUACAUGAGUACCUUUACGUAGAUACACUUAACUGUGUACAUUAACAUGAAUACUUGUAUCUCGAAUUGCGAGGAUGAUUUAUUAGUACCUUCUGUGUAAAUCUUCCUGCCUAUUCCACAGUACCUCGGAAUAUCUAAGACAGGACCCUAUCCCAUAGUACCUCGGGAUACCUAGAUGGGCCUCUAUCCCACAGUACCUCGGGAUAUACGUACGGGACUAACCAUUCCGGAACCCAUCUGUUAGCAACAGUGGGUAAUGAACAUCUACGGAUGCCUACGGUUAUUACUUAUACUAGGAGUACCUUUACAGGGACUAACCCUUCCUCCCACCUGCUGCUGCUACAGAGGACAAUUGGACAAUCUUCGGAUGUUCAUUAGGUUAUAUGUAAUAUGUUAGCCCUAGUACCUCGGGUCAACAUUUACAUUCGUCUUGUUAGCACCAGUACCUCCGGCUAACACUUACAUGAUUAUAUUUUUCCUGUUUACUUUAUUUUGUGAUAUCUUUCACAUAAACGAGGAGUUAGACUAAGUACUUUGGUACUAGUCAAUAGAAAGGAAAAACUAUCAGUCUACAUAGUCAUAACAAAACAUUCGGGUCUUGGUAGAAGACUACACUUCAUACUUACAAAACAUUCGGGUCUUGGUAGAAGACUACACUUC
rnacentral:lncRNA from 1 species